ACUCCUACGGGAGGCAGCAGUGGGGAAUUUUGGACAAUGGGCGCAAGCCUGAUCCAGCAAUGCCGCGUGCAGGAAGAAGGCCUUCGGGUUGUAAACUGCUUUUGUCAGGGAAGAAAUCUUCUGGGCUAAUACCCCGGGAGGAUGACGGUACCUGAAGAAUAAGCACCGGCUAACUACGUGCCAGCAGCCGCGGUAAUACGUAGGGUGCGAGCGUUAAUCGGAAUUACUGGGCGUAAAGCGUGCGCAGGCGGCUUUGCAAGACAGAUGUGAAAUCCCCGGGCUCAACCUGGGAACUGCAUUUGUGACUGCAAGGCUAGAGUACGGCAGAGGGGGAUGGAAUUCCGCGUGUAGCAGUGAAAUGCGUAGAUAUGCGGAGGAACACCAAUGGCGAAGGCAAUCCCCUGGGCCUGUACUGACGCUCAUGCACGAAAGCGUGGGGAGCAAACAGGAUUAGAUACCCUGGUAGUCCACGCCCUAAACGAUGUCAACUGGUUGUUGGACGGCUUGCUGUUCAGUAACGAAGCUAACGCGUGAAGUUGACCGCCUGGGGAGUACGGCCGCAAGGUUGAAACUGAAAGGAAUUGACGG
rnacentral:rRNA from 1 species